UAUCAGUCGAGCGCUGAAACGGGUACAUAUGUUCUAUUAGGGUUAUUUCACCUCUAAGAACCGGCAGUAACCACCAGAGACACGAAAAUAUUUCUUUUCAAAAUUGGAACGUAUAACACACGUUUUAUAAGCGAAUAAGGAACGAAUAAGUAACAGGAUAACAGUGUAGCGCUGAAACGGGUACAUAGGCGCUGAUAGGUUUUUUC
rnacentral:lncRNA from 1 species